rnacentral:rRNA from 1 species
UUGACCUCAAAUCAGGUAGGACUACCCGCUGAACUUAAGCAUAUCAAUAAGCGGAGGAAAAGAAACUAACAAGGAUUCCCCUAGUAACUGCGAGUGAAGCGGGAAAAGCUCAAAUUUUGAAUCUGGCGGUCUUUGCAGCCGUCCGAGUUGUAAUCUAGAGAAGCGUCUUCCGCGCCGG